CACAGACACUAUGGGGGAUGGGAAAGGAAAUCUGUGGUAGUAAUCCUGGGUUGGCUGGUGUCCUCCCUGUGGGGACCAGUCGCCACCACCCUUGAUGGAUGGGGUCCACUGUGUGAGUCUGGGGGUACCACCAAAACGCCAAAGAGCCUAGGGGAAAGUCCUGGGCAUGAGAGAAGCCCAGGCCACUCCUACAGCUGUGGAGUAGCCCCUCUCCACCAGAAGAUGGCUUGCAAUGAAGGCAGGAGAAGUCCUGGGUGUGAUAAAUGCUGACAGAAAGAAAUCAGAAGCCUGGGCGGUAGCUGCUACAGUGGGAUGGCCCCUCCUUGCUGCUGUUUGCUUAGCAACAAAAGCCAAAAUGGAAGCUAAGGCAAAGGUGAGACAGCUACAAGAGAAAUUAAAAUUAGAAAGGAAAACACGGCUGGUUCAAGCCAAAACUACUGAGGCUCUGUCAACACACCUCUGGGAAUCUGGUGAGAAGAUAGAGGUCUGAGCAACCCCAACCCAAAGGGGUGGAUCCCAGAGACCUGCCUCCACCUGUUGGGCACAUGCACCCACCAUGAGGGAUUACACUGCCGCAGAACUGGUGGAAUUGGGGAACAGGACAAUGUCUGCCAACCUUUCCACUGCAUGGACACACACUGGUGCUGACAUACAAAACCGUUCCACCUGCUGGGUAUGCAGCAAGCUGCUUGCCUUCAACCACAGGGUUACCAUGGCAUCUCCAAGCUGCCAACGCCUCUGACUGGAGAGCCCCAUGAGAAUGGAGGAAUGCCGCCCACUUUCCCAUUCCUACUCCCUUCCACUUGCAACAUGUUUUCUUUGGUGUCCUUGCCUUUUUAAUACUUUUAUUUUCAUGUCGUGCUCUUGGUUGCUGUUGUAGUUUCUGGCUACAGUGCUCCUCCAGGUCAAGGGAAACCAUGGAACACUGGCAUGAUAAGAUUGUAAGGGCCAUUUGGACACACAGGGGGUAAAGUGUAGGGGCAUUAGCUGGCAUGCCCCUUUGAAAACCAUGUGUACUUGAGGCUCCUUGUCUGGGCUACACACCAGCACUCAUGAUGAUAACAGUCCUGGGCUUGGCCAACCCAACUGCUUUCUCAUGGGAGAGUUAGCAACAAGACCCUCAUGGUCUGAGGGAACAUGGAGGCCCUCUGGGGUGGGUGGGGCUCGGGUCCUUGGAAUACAGGUCAUACAAGGACAGUCCCCCAUGGCAAGCACGCAGCUUUUGUUCCUUUGCCUACUUAAGCAAGCUUCUCUCAGGGGGUGGUAGCGGGUGCAUGUUGCUGUCCAGCCAGCCAUCAAUGGACCUUCCCUGUAAGUAACUCCUAAUAAACCCAUAUGUCUUGUUCACCA
rnacentral:lncRNA from 1 species